UUUUAUUGAAGGACAGAAGUUUUGAAGGAUAGAAGUCUGAGAUCAAGAUGUUGGCAGAAUUGGUUCCUUCUGAGGGCCUCUCUCCUUAUCUUGUAGAUGGGCAUCUUCUCCAUGUCUUCGCUUGGACCACCCUCCAUGUAAUCUCUUCCAGCCCUGGGCCCACCUUCUGCUUGGCACAGCAGCUGGAGCUGGCCUCAGUUGCCCCCUCAUGGCUCCACUAUGCCCUUCAGGUCACCAGUCCUUCACAAUGACUUCAUUUUUUUAUGCUAUCUACCUGUCCAGGUGGGCCUACAAUUUGUGAACUCUGCAACAUACAAAAAUAAAUCCUUGUUUCCUUUUG